GGUGGGCGCUGGGUGGACAUCUGGGUUGGCUGCCUCAGCCAGGUCCCCUGUGGCGAGUGCAUGGCAGGCCUCAGUACUCCCGAGAGGGCAGAAAGCACACAGGUGGUGCUGAGAGCUUGCUGGUGCCGGGUGCCAGCAGCUGAUGCAGGGCUUACCCGGGUGAAAGAAGAAACAGUCCCUGCUCUAGAGAAGCUCACAGUUUAACAGGGAGACAGACAUGCCAACAAAUAUCUGUAUUAAGUUUUGUAAUUAUAGUGUGUACAAAGGUUACAGGAAGACAGAAGAAGGAGAAAAUAGUCAAUGUAUUUAAUCAUCCCAGCAACCGUGGGAGACAGGAAUUGUUGGCUCAUUUUCACAGAUGGGGAAACUGAGCUAAAACUCCUCAUGAAAUCUACAUGGAUGGAUGACAUGCAGGAAGAAACAUAAGCCAUUUCUUCUCAGAGUUCACCAUAUCACUAAGAAUGAUCAGAAUGAUUGUGAAGCACCGGAAAACUCCUAAACAUGAGAAAAAGAAGAUAAUUUAGAGUUUGUUUAUCAGAG
rnacentral:lncRNA from 1 species